ensembl:lncRNA
GAAAGCGAGACCUCGGGAGGACUCAUGGAGGAACAGGGCCAAAGGAAAAGACAGUGGAGUGGAUUCUUUCUUCCAAUACUUUGAGCAUCAGGAAAACAGGAAGAGAGGAAUACAAUUUGCAGAGGUAGAGGUCCAAUUGACAGAAUUUAAGGCCAGAUGAAGAGAUCUGCUACAGAUCUGGGUAUGAUUCAUAUGAGUAGGAGAUGUGACCUUCAGGCUGGUAUGCAAAUAAAUAAACAGAAAUUACAUAGUGUUUUACAGAAUGAAGAAAUACAAUAAUUUAAAACUAAUACUGAACUAUAUUUGUUACUGGGACAUAAAAAUGGGUCAGUGAUUGCUUUCUCCAGUAGACAGGAAAUGUUCUGAAGAAACAUCACGCUCUCUUAUGCAACUACACAGAAGUGAAGGAGGCAUUAUGGUGUCCUAACAAAGUGGAGAGGGAAGCUUCCAAAUAAUGUUGUUAUGGGUUUUUUUGGACUUGCAUAUGUAAGUUUCUUUUACAUUUUUAUUUUUUUUUUUACUUUACAUCUGCUUUCCCUGACAAAUUCAAUUGCCUCUAUGGAGAAAAACAUUUCUCUCUUUUCAGAUACAGGGAACCCAUCCUUUGAUGCUUUCUCAAUCACAGCUUCUUUCCACUCUUAAAGCAUGUUUGCCUGCCAAGUUUGCUCCCUGCCUUUUUUUCCCCAAAGAAUCCAAUUCACACUUCACAGAUACAGAUCUAUUCAAGAUCUCAUUAAGUCUCUGCCAUUUAGCCAAGUGUGAGUUUCCUUCAGAUUGUAACAGGAACAGUAAAAGUACUAGUAAAACUACCAUGAUACAUAGAAUCAGAGAAUCUUAGAAUCAUAGAAUGGCCUGGGUUGAAAAAGACCUCAAAGAUCAUCUAGUUUCAACCCCCCUGCCAUGGGUAGGGUCACCAACCACCAGACCAGGCUGAACAUGAUCCUCUGUUUUAGUGUUGGCAAUGAUAGAACGUCGUCCAGUGUUCUUUUUGAAGUUCUUUU